rnacentral:rRNA from 1 species
CCUACGGGAGGCAGCAGUGAGGAAUAUUGGUCAAUGGACGAGAGUCUGAACCAGCCAAGUAGCGUGAAGGAUGACUGCCCUAUGGGUUGUAAACUUCUUUUAUAUGGGAAUAAAAUGUUCCACGUGUGGGAUUUUGUAUGUACCAUAUGAAUAAGGAUCGGCUAACUCCGUGCCAGCAGCCGCGGUAAUACGGAGGAUCCGAGCGUUAUCCGGAUUUAUUGGGUUUAAAGGGAGCGUAGGUGGAUUGUUAAGUCAGUUGUGAAAGUUUGCGGCUCAACCGUAAAAUUGCAGUUGAAACUGGCAGUCUUGAGUACAGUAGAGGUGGGCGGAAUUCGUGGUGUAGCGGUGAAAUGCUUAGAUAUCACGAAGAACUCCGAUUGCGAAGGCAGUUCACUGGACUGCAACUGACACUGAGGCACGAAAGUGUGGGUAUCAAACAGGAUUAGAUACCCGUGUAGUC